GACGAACGCUGGCGGCGUGCUUAACACAUGCAAGUCGAACGAAGUGGCGAACGGGUGAGUAACGCGUAAUCAACCUGCCCUUCAGAGGGGGACAACAGUUGGAAACGACUGCUAAUACCGCAUACUGAAGGCGGGUAUUGCGUCUGAUUAGCUAGGUGGAGGGGUAACGGCCCACCAAGGCGAUGAUCAGUAGCCGGUCUGAGAGGAGUAACGGGCAAAUUGGGGCUGAGACACGGUCCAGACUCCUACGGGAGGCAGCAGGGGGGAAUCUUCCGCAAUGGACGAAAGUCUGACGGAGCAACGCCGCGUGAGUGAUGACGGCCGUCGGGUUGGAAAGCUCUGUUAAUCGGGACGCGGUACCGGAAUAGAAAGCCACGGCUAACUACGUGCCAGCAGCCGCGGUAAUUC
rnacentral:rRNA from 1 species